rnacentral:rRNA from 1 species
UACGAAGGGGGCUAGCGUUGCUCGGAAUUACUGGGCGUAAAGGGCGCGUAGGCGGCACUGUUAGUCAGGCGUGAAAGUCCUGGGCUCAACCUGGGAACUGCGCUUGAUACGGCAGAGCUAGAGGAUGGAAGAGGCUCGCGGAAUUCCCAGUGUAGAGGUGAAAUUCGUAGAGAUCCGGAAGAACACCGGUGGCGAAGGCGGUGAGCUGGGCAGUUGCUGACACUGAGGCGCGACAGCGUGGGGAGCAAACAGG